GGUUGGUCUGAGGGCAGUGCUGUUUACAACUAAUUGAUCACAAACCAGUUACAGAUUCCUUUGUUUGUUCUCCACAUCCACUGCUUCACUUGACCAGCCUUAA
rnacentral:Y_RNA from 1 species